CGGGUCAGGGCGGGCGGCCUACACAUGCAAGUCGAGCGGAUGAAGGGAGCUUGCUCCCGGAUUUAGCGGCGGACGGGUGAGUAAUGCCUAGGAAUCUGCCUGGUAGUGGGGGACAACGACUCGAAAGGGUCGCUAAUACCGCAUACGUCCUACGGGAGAAAGUGGAGGAUCUUCGGACCUCACGCUAUCAGAUGAGCCUAGGUCGGAUUAGCUAGUAGGUGAGGUAAUGGCUCACCUAGGCAACGAUCCGUAACUGGCCUGAGAGGAUGAUCAGUCUCACUGGAACUGAGACACGGUCCAGACUCCUACGGGAGACAGCAGUGGGGAAUAUUGGACAAUGGGCGAAAGCCUGAUCCAGCCAUGCCGCGUGGGUGAAGAAGGUCUUCGGAUUGUAAAGCACUCUAAGUUGGGUGGAAGGGUUGUAGUUUAAUACGCUGCAAUCUUGACGUUGCCAACAGAAUAAGCACCGGCUAACUCUGUGCCAGCAGCCGCGGUAAUACAGAGGGUGCAAGCGUUAAUCGGAAUUACUGGGCGUAAAGCGCGCGUAGGCGGCUUGAUAAGAUGGGUGUGAAAUCCCCGGGCUUAACCCGGGAACUGCAUCCAUAACUGUCUGGCUAGAGUACAGUAGAGGGUGGUGGAAUUUCCUGUGUAGCGGUGAAAUGCGUAGAUAUAGGAAGGAACACCAGUGGCGAAGGCGACCACCUGGACUGAUACUGACGCUGAGGUGCGAAAGCGUGGGGGAGCAAACAGGAUUAGAUACCCUGGUAGUCCACGCCGUAAACGAUGUCUACUAGCCGUUGGAAUCCUUGAGAUUUUAGUGGCGCAGCUAACGCACUAAGUAGACCGCCUGGGGAGUACGGUCGCAAGAUUAAAACUCAAAUGAAUUGACGGGGGCCCGCACAAGCGGUGGAGCAUGUGGUUUAAUUCGAAGCACGCGAGAUCUUACCUGGCCUUGACAUGCAGAGACUUUCCAGAGAUGGAUUGGUUGCCUUCGGGAACCUCUG
rnacentral:rRNA from 1 species